UUAAAAGUAACUAAUAUUUAAGUGAUUUCUUUGUUAAAGAUUUAAUGAGUGGUAGCUCCUUUUAAG
rnacentral:tRNA from 1 species